GACAGAGGGUGCAACCGUUGUUCGGAAUUACUGGGCGUAAAGCGCGUGUAGGCGGCUGGGCAUGUCGGAUGUGAAAUCCCGUGGCUCAACCACGGAAGUGCACCCGAAACUGCCCAGCUUGAGUCUCGGAGAGGAAGGCGGAAUGCUUGGUGUAGAGGUGAAAUUCGUAGAUAUCAAGCGGAACACCGGUGGCGAAGGCGGCCUUCUGGACGAUGACUGACGCUGAGACGCGAAAGCGUGGGGAGCAAACAGG
rnacentral:rRNA from 1 species